rnacentral:rRNA from 1 species
AGUGAACGCUGGCGGUAGGCCUAACACAUGCCAGUCGAACGGCAGCACAGUAAGAGCUUGCUCUUACGGGUGGCGAGUGGCGGACGGGUGAGGAAUACAUCGGAAUCUACUUUUUCGUGGGGGAUAACGUAGGGAAACUUACGCUAAUACCGCAUACGACCUACGGGUGAAAGCAGGGGAUCUUCGGAUCUUGCGCGAUUGAAUGAGCCGAUGUCGGAUUAGCUAGUUGGCGGGGUAAAGGCCCACCAAGGCGACGAUCCGUAGCUGGUCUGAGAGGAUGAUCAGCCACACUGGAACUGAGACACGGUCCAGACUCCUACGGGAGGCAGCAGUGGGGAAUAUUGGACAAUGGGCGCAAGCCUGAUCCAGCCAUACCGCGUGGGUGAAGAAGGCCUUCGGGUUGUAAAGCCCUUUUGUUGGGAAAGAAAAGCAGCAGGUUAAUACCCCGCUGUUCUGACGGUACCCAAAGAAUAAGCACCGGCUAACUUCGUG